CUAUAUGUCAACACGUUUUUAGGCAGUUAACGAACUCGAGCCAAAAGGAAAACAUCAAUAUCCGAAAGUCAGAGCUCUAAAAAAUUUCAAUAAAUUUUCUAAAAAAAAUGACCAACAACUCGUCUGAUCUCGACCAAAAAAAUAAAAAGUUAAAAAUGCAACGACGUCUACUUUUUGUGCUUGCAAUACUUCCAAUAAUAUUUCUAAUGGUCUGGACAGUACUCAAGAAAAAAGAACCGUCUCUGGCAGUUGCAGCCAACGAAGGUAAUGGCAAGACAUAUGGAUUCUGGAGCAUGAUGGCCGAUAUUUAUUACUAUUUCUGGGAGGACAAAAGGCCAAUAGCCACUGUGAAGCCAAAAGGAUUUCUGGAAAAAAUCUGGAAUAAUCUCAAUCGUUAAGCAAAAUCUGCAUACCAAUGCACGAAGAUUCGGGCCGACUUACUACAAUUUUUGUAAGGACGAACCUGGAGCUCGAGUCAAAGAGAUAUGUUGAAAAUCUCGAAUCACUACACCAAAAUUUAUUUUCGGCUUUGCUAUUUUGUGCCUUUUUUUCAGGCAUAAUUAAAUCAAAGCGACAAAUGUGGUUAUCAGCAGGCAGAAGUGUGAUGCGGCGGCUUGAUUGCAUCCGGAUUACGUAAACGGAUUAGUUCAACUGUCGAAAUUGUCCAAAUUGAUUAUAUUAGCAAACAACAUUUAAUCCGUGCCGGAUGACAUUUAUUGUGUUGGAUUGCAUUCUGUGAUAUGUUUUUAAAUUGUGUGCACGUGUGAAACAAUAUGUAAAUUAUUUAUUAAUAUAGUUAAAUAUUAUCAGAAAAGCAGAUAAAAGGAACGAGAAAUAAUUGAUAAAAAUAUUUCGAAAGAUUAUGCCCAUGAAAUCACUUUCUCCAUUAAAUAUGCAUACAUUUGUUUAUGAGAUGCCAAAAAAAUAUUGCAUGUUACAUUAUGCACAUACAG